CUGUGGCGUAAGGACGCGUAGGCGGGCAGCCAAGUCUGAUGUGAAAUCCUAGGCUACCUUAACUGCAUUGGAAACUGGUUACCUAGAGAGGGGGGGGGAGAUGGAAUUAGUGGUGUAGGGGUAAAAUCCGUAGAUAUCACUAGGAAUACCGAAAGCGAAGGCGAUCUCCUGGAACAAUACUGACGCUAAGGCGUGAAAGCGUGGGGAGCAAACGGGAUUAGAUACCCCGGUAGUCCACGCCCUAAACGAUGUUCACUAGUCGUCGGAAUGCUAGUCAUUUCGGUGAUGCACUUAACAGAUUAAGUGAACCGCCUGGGGAGUACGGUCGCAAGAUUAAAACUCAAAGGAAUAGACGGGGACCCGCACAAGUGGUGGAGCAUGUGGUUUAAUUCGAAGAUACGCGAAGAACCUUACCUAGCCUUGACAUUGAAGAAACACUUUAGAGAUAGAGUGGUGCCCUUCGGGGAAUCUGAAAACAGGUGCUGCACGGCUGUCGUCAGCUCGUGUCGUGAGAUGUUGGGUUAAGUCCCGCAACGAGCGCAACCCUCGUCCUUAGUUGCCAGCAGGUUAAGCCGGGCACUUUAAGGAGACUGCCUUCGCAAGGAGGAGGAAGGUGAGGACGACGUCAAGUCAUCAUGGCCCUUAUGGCUAGGGCUACACACGUGCUACAAUGGGGCGUACAGAGAGUUGCGAUACCGCGAGGUGGAGCCAAUCUCAUAAAGCGUCUCUCAGUUCGGAUUGGAGUCUGCAACUCGACUCCAUGAAGCUGGAAUCACUAGUAAUCGUAGAUCAGCAAUGCUACGGUGAAUACGU
rnacentral:rRNA from 1 species